GACGGUCUGGUUGGUGAUGGGGCGGCCGACCCAGGAGGGUGGGUGUCCGACGUCGGGGUGGCCAGUCCAUUAGAUGAGGUGGCUAGCCUAGGUGAGUGGGCAACCGUCCGAGCCAAAGACGUGCGGGCCGUCCCAGGCGAGGAAGAGGCGACCAAGCCAAGCAAGUGGGCAACUGGCCCGAGGGAGCGCGGAGUCGUAGCCGACCAAACUGAGUUGGUAGUCAAGGCCUGCUGCGGGAAGCGGCAUGGGUGCCAGGGCAGGGAUGCCAUGGGCACCAUGGGAAGGAACGUUGCGGGCAUGGACAUCGCCUGUAGGGUUGUCACGGCUGCCGCGGAUGCGGGGGAGGGGGUGAGAGGGUCGGUGACGACCGGUGUAGGGGCGAGGGCAGUCGUGGCCGUGCCGAAGCUUUCAGCCGGAGGGGAGGGUGCUAAGAGAAGGUCACUGAGGACGGUAAAGAGCGCCUCACGCGCCGCGUCCGAGGCCCAUGUUGCUGCAUUCUGA
rnacentral:lncRNA from 1 species